CUAGGUGUGGGGCUCAUUCCACGAGUUCCGUGCCGCAGCUAACGCAUUAAGCGCCCCGCCUGGGGAGUACGGCCACAAGGCUAAAACUCAAAGGAAUUGACGGGGGCCCGCACAAGCGGCGGAGCAUGUUGCUUAAUUCGAUGCAACGCGAAGAACCUUACCUAGGCUUGACAUGCACGGAAAUCCUCCAGAGAUGGUGGGUCCGUAAGGGCCGUGCACAGGUGGUGCAUGGUUGUCGUCAGCUCGCGUCGUGAGAUGUUGGGUUAAGUCCCGCAACGAGCGCAACCCUCGUUCUAUGUUGCCAGCACGUCAUGGUGGGGACUCAUAGGAGACUGCCGGGGUCAACUCGGAGGAAGGUGGGGAUGACGUCAAAUCAUCAUGCCCCUUAUGUCUAGGGCUGCAAACAUGCUACAAUGGCCGGUACAAAGGGCUGCGAUACCGCGAGGUGGAGCGAAUCCCAAAAAGCCGGUCUCAGUUCGGAUUGGGGUCUGCAACUCGACCCCAUGAAGUUGGAGUCGCUAGUAAUCGCAGAUCAGCAACGCUGCGGUGAAUACGUUCCCGGGCCUUGUACACACCGCCC
rnacentral:rRNA from 1 species